rnacentral:rRNA from 1 species
UACGAAGGGGGGCUAGCGUUGCUCGGAAUCACUGGGCGUAAAGGGCGCGUAGGCGGCGUUUUUAAGUCGGGGGUGAAAGCCUGUGGCUCAACCACAGAAUGGCCUUCGAUACUGGGACGCUUGAGUAUGGUAGAGGUUGGUGGAACUGCGAGUGUAGAGGUGAAAUUCGUAGAUAUUCGCAAGAACACCAGUGGCGAAGGCGGCUCACUGGCCCGAUACUGACGCUGAGGUGCGAAAGCGUGGGGAGCAAACAGG